rnacentral:rRNA from 1 species
UACGAAGGGUGCAAGCGUUACUCGGAAUUACUGGGCGUAAGCGUGCGUAGGCGGUUUGUUAAGUCCGUUGUGAAAGCCCUGGGCUCAACCUGGGAAUUGCAGUGGAUACUGGCGAGCUAGAGUGCGGUAGAGGAUGGUGGAAUUCCCGGUGUAGCGGUGAAAUGCGUAGAGAUCGGGAGGAACGCCCGUGGCGAAGGCGGCCAUCUGGACCAGCACUGACGCUGAGGCACGAAAGCGUGGGGAGCAAACAGG